GACGAACGCUGGCGGCGUGCUUAACACAUGCAAGUCGAACGGAAAGGCCCUGCUUUUGUGGGGUGCUCGAGUGGCGAACGGGUGAGUAACACGUGAGUAACCUGCCCUUGACUUUGGGAUAACUUCAGGAAACUGGGGCUAAUACCGGAUAGGAGCUCCUGCUGCAUGGUGGGGGUUGGAAAGUUUCGGCGGUUGGGGAUGGACUCGCGGCUUAUCAGCUUGUUGGUGGGGUAGUGGCUUACCAAGGCUUGGACGGGUAGCCGGCCUGGGAGGGUGACCGGCCACAUGGGGAUUAGGGUGCGGCCAGGACCCCAUCGGGGGCAAGGGGUGGGGAAAUUUCGGAGAAGGGCGGAGCGCGUGUGGAAGACCCCCGGGUGGGGGAAGGCGGCCUUGGGGUUAGAACCCCUUUUCCCGUGUGUGGGAGCGUGGGGGGGGGAAAUGGGUAAAAAGCCACGGCUAAAUACGUG
rnacentral:rRNA from 1 species